UACGUAGGGGGCAAGCGUUGUCCGGAAUCAUUGGGCGUAAAGAGCGUGUAGGCGGCCAGAUAAGUCCGCUGUGAAAUCUCGAGGCUCAACUUCGAGCUGUCGGUGGAAACUGUCUGGCUAGAGUCCGGAAGAGGAGAGUGGAAUUCCUGGUGUAGCGGUGAAAUGCGCAGAUAUCAGGAAGAACACCGACGGCGAAGGCAGCUCGCUGGGACGGUACUGACGCUGAGGCGCGAAAGCGUGGGGAGCGAACAGG
rnacentral:rRNA from 1 species